rnacentral:rRNA from 1 species
UACAGAGGGGGCAAGCGUUGUUCGGAAUUACUGGGCGUAAAGGGCGCGUAGGCGGCCUGCUAAGUCGAACGUGAAAUCCCCGGGCUCAACCCGGGAACUGCGUCCGAUACUGACAGGCUUGAAUCCGGGAGAGGGAUGUGGAAUUCCAGGUGUAGCGGUGAAAUGCGUAGAUAUCUGGAGGAAUACCGGUGGCGAAGGCGGCAUCCUGGACCAUUACUGACGCUGAGGCGCGAAAGCUAGGGGAGCAAACGGG